rnacentral:rRNA from 1 species
GACGUUAGCGGCGGACGGGUGAGUAACACGUGGAUAACCUACCUAUAAGACUGGGAUAACUUCGGGAAACCGGAGCUAAUACCGGAUAAGAUUUUGAACCGCAUGGUUCAAUAGUGAAAGACGGCCUUGCUGUCACUUAUAGAUGGAUCCGCGCCGUAUUAGCUAGUUGGUAAGGUAACGGCUUACCAAGGCAACGAUACGUAGCCGACCUGAGAGGGUGAUCGGCCACACUGGAACUGAGACACGGUCCAGACUCCUACGGGAGGCAGCAGUAGGGAAUCUUCCGCAAUGGGCGAAAGCCUGACGGAGCAACGCCGCGUGAGUGAUGAAGGUCUUCGGAUCGUAAAACUCUGUUAUCAGGGAAGAACAAACGUGUAAGUAACUGUGCACGUCUUGACGGUACCUGAUCAGAAAGCCACGGCUAACUACGUGCCAGCAGCCGCGGUAAUACGUAGGUGGCAAGCGUUAUCCGGAAUUAUUGGGCGUAAAGCGCGCGUAGGCGGUUUUUUAAGUCUGAUGUGAAAGCCCACGGCUCAACCGUGGAGGGUCAUUGGAAACUGGAAAACUUGAGUGCAGAAGAGGAAAGUGGAAUUCCAUGUGUAGCGGUGAAAUGCGCAGAGAUAUGGAGGAACACCAGUGGCGAAGGCGACUUUCUGGUCUGUAACUGACG